CAUAAUUUGUGGUAGUGGGGGACUGCG
rnacentral:piRNA from 4 species